CCAGGCUCCGAGCCGUCAGCCCAGAGCCCGACGCGGGGCUCGAACUCACGGACCGCGAGAUCGUGACCUGAGCCGAAGUCGGUCGCUUCACCGACUGAGCCACCCAUGUGCCCUGAGAAAGAUUUUCAACCACCAUUUGGAAGUGGAGCGAGAAAAACAGUCAUGGAUCAAACAACCAGAGAGGUCAACUCUCAAGCUAUGAAGACAAGACAUCAUCUGGCCUCCUGAGCCACGUCACGUUUUGCAAUAAAAUGUCAGCAGCGUCCGCA